rnacentral:rRNA from 1 species
CCUACGGGUGGCUGCAGUGGGGAAUAUUGGGCAAUGGAGGAAACUCUGACCCAGCAACGCCGCGUGAAUGAUGAAGGUCUUCGGAUUGUAAAGUUCUUUUCUAAGGGAAGAAAACAGUGAUGGUACCUUAGGAAUAAGCCUCGGCUAACUACGUGCAAGCAGCCGCGGUAAUACGUAGGAGGCAAGCGUUAUCCGGAAUGACUGGGCGUAAAGGGUGAGUAGGUGGGUUGAUAAGUUGGUAGCGAAACUCCGAGGCUCACCCUCGGCACUACUUCCAAGACUGUCGGACUUGAGAGAAGGUGGGGCAGCUGGAAUUCCUGGUGUAGCGGUGGAAUGCGUAGAUAUUA